AUGAAGAACAGCACGCUUGUGGCGAUCCUGGUCGUCCUCCAGGCCAUCAUGGUCAUAGGAAUCCUUUCACACGCCGCCGAUGACAAUUUCCCCAAGUGCUGCGACCACUGCAACUCCUGGUCGGGGUACCAAUUCUGUGACGACGUCGGCCCCAGGUGCCGCGACGGCUGCGUCAACUGCCACGUGGUGGAAACGAGCCCCGUGAAGACGUUCCGGUGUGGAGAUGGACGCCCCGUCCUCGGCGGGCAAGGCACGCCCACGCCCUGCCCACCACCGUGCAAAAAGCAUUGA
rnacentral:rRNA from 1 species